ACAAUGUCUUUCUGCAGGUAUAGUUCUAAAAAGCUUCCACUUGGAUCCCGAGCAACUGAAAGAGAAAUUGUUAAUUAUUCAAGAGCGUGAUGGCGGAUUGUCGGAUGAACAUCUGACUAAUCUCAGAAGAUAUGUCCCCACAGCAAAAGAUAUCAACAUGUAUAAAAACUACAAGGGACCUUUAUCUGAACUGCAUAUUGUGGACCAGUUCAUGCUGCAGAUGUGUAAGAUUCCUGAUUUGUGCCCAAGACUCGACACUCUGCUUACAAUACGAGAGCUACCCGGCAUUAUGAAAUAUCUGCAACCGUUACUUUUGCAGAAAGUUAAAGCAUGUAGCCAGCUGCUGAGCAGCCAAGCAUUUCCGGUGGUGCUG